UACGUAGGGUGCGAGCGUUAAUCGGAAUUACUGGGCGUAAAGCGUGCGCAGGCGGUGAUGUAAGACAGAUGUGAAAUCCCCGGCUCAACCUGGGAACUGCAUUUGUGACUGCAUCGCUGGAGUACGGCAGAGGGGGAUGGAAUUCCGGCGUGUAAGCAGUGAAAUGCGUAGAUAUGCGGAGGAACACCGAUGGCGAAGGCAAUCCCUGGCCUGUAACGUGACGCUCCAGUGCACGAAAGCGUGGGGAGCAAACAGGA
rnacentral:rRNA from 1 species